AUACGUAGGGGGCGAGCGUUGUCCGGAAUUAUUGGGCGUAAAGGGCGUGUAGGCGGCUUCUUAAGUCCGGUGUGAAAGCCCACGGCUCAACCGUGGAGGGUCACUGGAAACUGGGGAGCUUGAGAGCAGGAGAGGAGAGCGGAAUUCCACGUGUAGCGGUGAAAUGCGUAGAUAUGUGGAGGAACACCAGUGGCGAAGGCGGCUCUCUGGCCUGACUCUGACGCUGAGGCGCGAAAGCGUGGGGAGCAAACAGGAUUAGAUACCCUGGUAGUCCACGCCGUAAACGAUGAGUGCUAGGUGUUAGUGGGGUUACCCAUUAGUGCCGAAGGAAACCCAAUAAGCACUCCGCCUGGGGAGUACGGCCGCAAGGCUGAA
rnacentral:rRNA from 1 species